rnacentral:hammerhead_ribozyme from 1 species
AUCGAGAUGACGAGUCCCAAAUAGGACGAAAGACGUUUUAUCCUGGAU